AGCUCCACACUGUAUCAGCAAGUUGAAGACUGACUCACUGAUGAGGAAUAUGACUCUUCUGGGUUGAGGAAGAGAAUUCAGUGAAACUAUGGUGCUCCUGAGGGAGCUCGGGACCACCAGGUCGCCUAAGGAGGGGUGAACCGGCCCAGGUCGGAAACGGAGCAGGUCAAAGCCCCCGUGCCGGUCAGUAGUGGGAUCGCGCCUGUGAAUAGACACUGCAGUGCAGCUUGAGCGAUACAGCGGGACUCAGUCUUU
rnacentral:sRNA from 1 species